UGCAGCUCACUUUUCCUUGUUCCAUACUUUGUGUCUGAGAUUACCAACAUUGACACAGUAAUUUAUAAUUUACAUCUUGUAGCAUGUGUUCACAAUUACUUUGUAUAAAAUGCCAAUUUAUUUAUGCAUUCUCCUGUUGAAGGACCCUGGAUUGUUUUUUAUUUUUAUUUUUUUGAUAUUAUAAACAACAUUGCAACAAACUUUUGUAUGCAUCUUUUCUUGUGCCAUUCACUUUUUUAUUUCUGAGUAUUACUCCUAAUAAUAUAACUAAAACCUUGACUAUCCUGGCUGUGGGAUAUAAUCAUCUUCCUUUUUUCUCAGUUUUGCCAAACUUCUCUCCAAAAUGCCAGUCAUAAUUCAGGUCCACACUCGCAGAGUAGGAAAGUCCCUGUUGCUCUAUAUUGUUGCCAACGUGUUCUCAGGUGUUGUUAUUCUAAAGCUAUGUACAGGUAUGUCUGGGGCACGAAGAAUGAAGUGAUUAUCUCUGCAGGUCCUCCUGUUUUCAAGGAGACUUUGAAUAAAGCAGAAAUAAUGAGCACCUGAACCAAGGCAUCAACACGGGGCUGGAGAGGACUAGAAGCACUAAUAAAGUCCAAUCCACAGCUGUUAUUAAAACUGUAAGCGGGAGGAUAGAGGUCCUAUUUCAUGACUGAGGAGCUUUGGUGGAUACUACAGCCACACAUUUGGAUGGAAGGUAGACGACCGGAUAAUUCUUGUGCUCUGAAUGGAAGCAGUUUAUUGAGCUUCCUCCCACCCCAGUACAAUAAAUGAAGAGACUCACAAGAUUAAGGAGUGAUAAGAGUACACCGCUUCAAAAAAAAACAAAUCCUGUGCAAGGGGAAUAGUGAGCAAAUGAGAAAUAAGUUACAUGCAUCUACCUCCAUGCCUCAGGCCUGAUAUAAAGAGCUCUGAAGAAACAAAAAAGACUCACGUUCAUUCCUUGCCUUUGACACUUUCCAACCAUGAAGUCUUAAGGUCUGAUCCUUUCAAAGGCGGGAGACAGGAAUUCUGUUUGCAUGUUACCAGAGAUGUCCAAAUGCCUGUCACUUUUUCCUUAAUGUGGUAUCAAAGCGUAUGGAACUGGGCAGAACUCCAAAAUAUUGUGGUCAUUUUUAUCAGCCUUUAAGCCGGACCAACUUUAUAAAAGUUAUACAGUAGAUUGAAACCGACAGCAGACAAUCAAAAUCAAGGUCAAAUGAAAGGCCUAGACAUCCAACCCACUGUCAAUCUAGAAGUUGUGUAGAGAAGGAAGAGCUGAGGACACAAUUUCACACGGAUCAAAGACCACGGGGCCAAGGGUGCUGCAGCUCAUGCCUGCUAUUCCAGCAACAUGGGAGUCUGAGGCAG
rnacentral:lncRNA from 1 species